rnacentral:lncRNA from 1 species
CCCUGCUUCUGGCAGUUCUUCCAGUGCUGCCAGGUGUUUGUUGCUUCACACCAGUACCAACCUACCUGUCUGAGUGUCUACAGCUUCCAAUGUUACUGUAACUGGGCAAGCAAGGACGAAGCAGAACUAAACGCCUCUAUGUGAUCACCAUCAAAAUUGAAUUUGGAGGUUCAAAACCAUACCACUAGCAGGAAUGACAGCAGUAUGAAUGUACUCUGCCUUUAGAGAGAAUGCCACUAGAGAGCAAGAAAGAGGAGAAGUGCUGGUCAUCUUCACUUACUCUGUGUGAGGAGAUGUCUUUGUUCUUCAGAUGCAACAAAGUCAGGAGAAGAGAGGCAAAGAUAAACCCACAUUCGUUUUUGAAAAUGCAGGCUGACUUGCUUUGCCCAGUUCUUCCUUGCAGAUGUUGUUGCGUUAGACUGCAAGCUCCGUCUUGAUUACAGUGAGCUCUAGUUCAUUGACUGCACCCUUUGAUCAUUCUUAGGUAGAAUGCUCUUGUGCCUGCAGCUCUAAGUGCAAUCUCAGGAGCUCAGACAUGUAUAGCACAUGGCUUGACAGAGCCUGCAAUAGCAUUUUUAAAGAGAGAAUAAAGUCCUAAUUCAGAAAAUACGCA